rnacentral:rRNA from 1 species
UACAGAGGUCCCAAGCGUUGUUCGGAUUCACUGGGCGUAAAGGGUGCGUAGGCGGUCGGGUAAGUCUGAUGUGAAAUCUCCAAGCUUAACUUGGAAAUGGCAUCGGAUACUAUUCGGCUCGAGGAAUGGAGGGGAGACUGGAAUACUUGGUGUAGCAGUGAAAUGCGUAGAUAUCAAGUGGAACACCAGUGGCGAAGGCGGCUCACUGGACCGGAACUGACGCUGAGGCGCGAAAGCGUGGGGAGCGAACAGG